rnacentral:tRNA from 1 species
GCGGUUGUGGCGGAAUGGCAGACGCGCUAUCUUCAGGCGGUAGUGUCUUUGACGUGUGGGUUCAAGUCCCAUCAACCGCACCA